AUUGAACGCUGGCGGAAUGCUUACACAUGCAAGUCGAACGGCAGCACGGGGGCAACCCUGGUGGCGAGUGGCGAACGGGUGAGUAAUACAUCGGAACGUGCCCAGUCGUGGGGGAUAACGUAGCGAAAGUUACGCUAAUACCGCAUACGAUCUACGGAUGAAAGCGGGGGACCGUAAGGCCUCGCGCGGUUGGAGCGGCCGAUGUCAGAUUAGGUAGUUGGUGAGGUAAAGGCUCACCAAGCCGACGAUCUGUAGCUGGUCUGAGAGGACGACCAGACACACUGGGACUGAGACACGGCCCAGACUCCUACGGGAGGCAGCAGUGGGGAAUUUUGGACAAUGGGCGCAAGCCUGAUCCAGCCAUUCCGCGUGCAGGACGAAGGCCUUCGGGUUGUAAACUGCUUUUGUACGGAACGAAAGGGCUCUGGUUAAUACCUGGGGCUCAUGACGGUACCGUAAGAAUAAGCACCGGCUAACUACGUGCCAGCAGCCGCAGUAA
rnacentral:rRNA from 1 species